CCAACGAGCCACUGGCUUUCCUCCUCCGAUGAGGGCAUCACUGCCAGAAACCAUCUGGAAGAGAUAUAUAUUAACGGGUUAACGAGGCAAUCAGGCUGGGAGCUGGACAAUGAUGUUAUAAUCCCUCUGUCGCAUACCGGUAUUCUCGACGAGUUGAACUUGAAAUCGUAACAUCUACGACGACGGCGGAGAGAGAUGGGAUCAUCUUUCGAUAUACAUCGUCGUGCUUUGUGUUAAUAGAGAGAUAAGAUAAAAUGAGUAGACUGAAGGAGAGAUAUAGGUAGGAGCGUUGAGUUAAUAUUGACAUUUGGAAGACAAAGCCGGAAGUCGAAGCGACAGCGGUGGCGAGGAUAAGCUGAUUUUCUUCGAUACGCGCGGAGUUGCGGAGAGCUUCGAGAGGGUUCUAUACAUGGCGCGCGUCAUCGAGCUGCGACUUUCGCAGCUGCUCUUUAUGCUUUUUAUUUGCUCUCGUGACGCUUCGUUUGACCGACACUCUAUCGAUGUAAUGUUAAACGCCGAUGGUGCUUUGCAUCACUUGACGGAGCGUAAAGAUCCUUGGAAAAUACAUUUAAUGAUCUGAUUAUUAUUGUAUCUUAUUGAAUCGAGCACCGUCAGAUCUUAAUAAUAAUUAUGAUGUGCUGUACGUCUCAAUGACAUUUGCAUUGUGCGUUACGAUCGUAAAGUUUAUUUUUCAACGGCGCACGUGCUCUGAGAGGAGGCAUGCGUUAUGUCUCUUUGUCUAUAAGCGCGGUUCACUGACCAAGGUUCAUUGUGUAUGACAUUCGUCACAGAGUGACAAAGUGAAAAUCACGACUCUAUUUCGUAUUCGCGCGGGCCAAGACGGUAAAUGAGCGUUUGCAUAAUUUAAUGCCGCGUUACAUUUGCAUAUCGCGAGAGUAAUCGGCGUGCCAGCGAGCACGAGAAGCAUACGCUAUCUUAUUGCUUUAUAAAAAGAUUCACGUAUUUUCGUAAUCAAUUUUAUGCAACGUAUGUUUUAUUUUUACAAGUGGUACAUGUAUAUAUUUAUUGCUAUUUCAAUUUACAAGCCAACAGGGAAAAUCCACACCAUACCCAUUAAUCUGUUUCUGUCUUUGCUUCUCUUUCUUUAUUCUGAUAUAACUUUAUCCUCUCCUUAUUCUAAUACUCUAAUAUUUUCUCCCUAUCUCAUUGACCUAUUUAAUUUUACCUUCUUACGUUUUACAUAUAUUACAUUUUCACAUUUUUACGUUUUUACAUUUUACAUAUUUAAAUUUACAUUUAACGUUUUACAUUUAACAUUUACACGUUGUUUCCCUCUUACAGGUGGUUUACGCAAAAGUGCUCCUAGCACGAUCCUCUUCCCAUUCGCGCGUUCUACAACGGAUCUACAGCCUUACUGUUGACCUUACUUGGUCGUCAUUAUGAAGUAACCGGAGCAGCUUUUGCGUGCAUUUACUUUCGUGACUUGAGCAUGCUUUGUGAACCCCAGCGCAUUAAGACACGCGGAGGUCGUGCGUCCAAUCAUCAAGGCUGACUAAUACCCGGAAUUGAUGUCAAAGACUCGCCGCCGGAAACGCGAAUGGGUUCUCUUUCUCUUUCGCGUGUCCUUACCUCAUAUCAGUUCGAUCGAUCUGCAUCGAACGUCACACGGCUUUCAGUACGUGUACAUACAUAGUAUAUGUCUGAUGUAAAGUUGUGAAAUAUGUGUGGAGGAGGUUCCUCAUUAACGCUUUGUUGGCCGACGAACAACGAAUAUGCUCGUUCUUAUCAGCUUUAUCUCUCGAAAAGGUAGCGCAUUACGUCAGCAUCGUUCUCAACUAUGUGAAGAACAAAAAGAUACGCUACUACGCCAGCGAUCAAAAAAGAAAGAAAAAGAUGUUAAAAUUGUAUGUAUUCUUCCGUCCUCGCACGUCGGACGCACGUUAAACGUCGCAGCGAUUCGAUUUCCGAAGAUCUUUGCACAUUUCACCGGGUGGAUUGGAGAAAAUCGGGCGCGCCAGCUCUCUUCGUGUGGAUCGGGCUAUCGAUCGAGAGCCGCAUCAAGUAUCAGCACUUCAAGUUCAACCCGAAGACGAGAUAAUAGGAGGCUACUGUUUUAUUCAGUGGUGCACAAUGCGACGCACCUCUUCACCAAACACUUCGCCGUUGAUUGUUCGUCGACGCAAAGUCGCUAUCGUAAUGAUACGUCGUAAGCGUAUGUCAGCGCGUGCAAGCGCAAUCGAAUAAUUUUUAUGUAAUGAUUUCGCGGUAAUCCCGUACACGGACGAUGAGCGAUCACCCAUCCAAUCGGCGACUCCAACGUUCGGGAUUUAAUCUCAAUAUUUAUAUAACGGGUAGUACAGAAACGUUCGAAUAUGUAUUGCGCGAGGAGCGAUUGCGUCUCUAUCUCUCGCUGUGGUAUAUCUACCCUCGUCGUUCCGACCUACCUCAACGAGCGACCUACCACCACGAUCCUCGAUACUACGUUAAAUCUUCCGUGAGGCGCGCAUAUCGUACAUGUAUCACACUUUGACGCGCGUAUCUCCCCGUUACAAAUGUAUACGUAUAGAUAUAAUAACGGAAUUGUUGAGUCGCGAAUUGAUGCUCCUCCCCGUCGGAGGAUGCGGCGCACAUCAGCAGGACCACCGCCAACGUCCUCGUCGAGCUCGCGUCCUGUCGCGCGUUUCGCGCGCCGCAGGCCUUUCGUCGGGGAUCGAUUCUCUCGACGGAGAGGGCGGGAGGCGGCGCCGCGCGCGGAACACAGUGAUCGGUCGCGACGCGCCUUUCCGAAUAAAAUUAAGAGAUCUCGCUCGCGGCUGUCUCGAAAGGUUGCGGACUUAUCUCGCGCGAUUCCUAUAGCAUGAUAGUGCGCCGCACCGGACAUGGCGAUCGCACCGGUCGCUCCCACCGGUAGCCCGUCAAAAACGUACGAUCUGCUAACAUUUUCACUAGUACAAGAGAAACAACACUGCCGCUGCGAAUAACGCUGCUCGCCGCCCGCGCCGUCGACACGCCGCCUGCGCCGCGUAUCGAUUUGCGUCGCGACGCCCGACACGAGUCGUCGGUAGCGCCUUCGCCCCGACCAGAGUUCCCCCUGCGAAUCAUUAGCCCAAUAAUUACUAAUGAGAUGGCUCCUAAACUCUAAGAAGCCCCCUCUCGAAUGAUUCUGGCCGAGGGACUCUGUAAAAUAUUUUGUGAUUGUACUGAAGAAAAUGUAAAAAAAUAUAUAUAAAUUAUUUGAUAAAAUAAUUUGUGUAUUGAAGAAAUAUUUUGUUUCUCAUACUUAAUACAUAUAUUUAAAUUGUGCAUAUUCAAUCAUCAUCUAAUCCUGUAUAUAAAUGUAAUUAUUGUAAAUGAAUAUCUAUAAUGAAUAUAAGUAUAAAAGAGUA
rnacentral:lncRNA from 1 species